rnacentral:rRNA from 1 species
UAGGGAAUCUUCGGCAAUGGGGGCAACCCUGACCGAGCAACGUCGCGUGAGUGAAGAAGGUUUUCGGAUCGUAAAGCUCUGUUGUAAGAGAAGAACGUGUGUGAGAGUGGAAAGUUCACACAGUGACGGUAACUUACCAGAAAGGGACGGCUAACUACGUGCCAG